rnacentral:lncRNA from 1 species
GGAAUUUCUAAGGGAUAACACACAUCUAUCUAUCACUGUGAAAAACUAUUUGGUAAGUAUUUUUGCAGACUUUCAUUUUUAUCCUUUGCUUGUUUUAAACAUUUAAAUCUUAAUCAUGAAAGAAGUAACUUUCAUAAGUAGUAUUUUAUAAAUAUAGAAUAUAUUUUAUAAAUAUAGAGUCCAUUUAUAAAUAUAUAAUUAGACCAUCUUUUAUCUGUGUUUAUUGAUGAAAUGAAAUGCAUAUAUGUUGAUAAAAUCUAAAAUACUAUAGAUUAAAGGUUUACUGCUGCCUGGCACCUGUAUCCCAGCAGCUAAGAUGGCUGGGGAAGGAGGUUCAUGAGUUCAAAGCCAGCCUCAGCAACUUAGCAAGGUCCUGGCAACUCAGAGAGACCCUGUGUCUAAGUAAAAUAGAAUGAAAGGACUGGAGAUGUAUCUCAGUGGUUAAGUGCUUCUGGGUUCAAUCCCUGGUAAAGGAGAAAAUUUAAAAUGUUUACUGUUAUUCUUACAUUUACUUGGAUAGAACAAUAUACAAAGUAGAUUCCUGGUAUCAGUCACUGGAGUAAUGUUUUUGUGCAGGAUUUUCAUAGCUGAAGUCUGUACUUCUCAGGUACCCCCAAGUUCUACAGCUGCCUUGGCCUUGUCCAGAUAUCUUAUAAUUGGCAGCAUGUGAUGUUUCUCUUUGUAUACAUUUUAGUGUUUAAAGAACUUCUAACAAGACUGUCAGAAGAGAAGAGAAAUGGUGCCCCCCACCUUCCCAAUAUUGGUGAUAUGAAGGAGGUCAGUGGCUCCUCCAUUCCUGAUCUGCUGUAGAUGGAAAACAGGUGAUAGGACUUGAAAAAGUAAAUAAAAAAAGUAAAGCUAACACUGUUGGAGGAAGGAAUAAGCUAAAGAAGAUGCAUGACAAGACUCAGAUGAGUAUCUUCCCUCACAAACCUUAUAAGUAAGUGUCUACAAAUUUUCUGUGCAUUAUUUUAUUACUUUACUGUGAUAAAACAAUAUGCUAAGCUUGUGAUAUAAAUUUUUCACAUUAUUCUAAUAUAUCAGGAAUUUAUGGCUGAGCUGUUUUAGAAGUAAUAUUGAAACAAUCAUGUGGAUAUGUGUUCUUAAUCAUUAUUACAGAAGCUAAGAUGCUGAAUACUAAUAAAUUAGUUAGGAUGAACAUGGAAUUGUAAUGUGCAUAAAGAGUGGAGGAAAGGGUAUGGAAUAAGCAUUAUGGGAUUCAGAUUUGGUUUUCAGGUUGGUAGAGAGGAAAUAUAUGGACCGCAAGGGAAACAGGAAGAGUCAACAGACUUUAAAGUCUUCAAAGACUCCAAAAGGGUUUUGGAAAAAAUGAGAGUUAGUGAGGUGAAACAAAAAGAGGGUGUGCUAAAGAGGGCCUUUUUCUUUCUUUUCUCUAUAUUUUUAGAGGGACAUUUCAAACUUGGAUCUCACAUGUACAGUAGUUUUAGUCCCAGAGUCAUCUGAUAUGAGUAAGUAAUCAAGAAACCAUGAGAGUGCAAAGUUAGACCAUCAUGCCAGAUGUUAAAAUGUGGCUGAGAAACAUUUCCUAAGAAGACAAAUCUUAUAGGAUGUACCUGGAAUAUACUAAUAAUCAUGGCCAUUUGUGCCAGGAGUGUCCCAGUCAGCCAUGCCUUGGCCUAAAGACAUAGUCAUCAUUUGAUAUCAUAUAUUACAUCUAAUAAUUUUGGCAAAUUGUGCUUUUAUAUGAUUGAAAAAUAAAGUCCCACUGAGGUAACUGGGUAUGGUGGUACGUACAUUUAAUUUAAGCAACUUGGGAGGCUGAGGCAGGAGGAUUGCAAUUUUGAGGCCAGCCUCAUUAAUUGAUGUAGAUUUUGUCUCAGAAUAAAAUUUAAAAAGGGCCUUGGAGUGGCUCAAUGGAAGAGCAUGUCUGUGUUCAAUCCCCAAUACCACAAACAAACAACACCCAAGAAUGUGAAGAUUUCUAUCUUUCAGAGAAUGUUAAUUAAGAGUGUCUGCAUGUACAUGCACACACCCAUAUGUGCUUAAAUAGAGACUGAAUUUUGUCAUAGAUUUUCCUGUGUAUUUGGAAGAACUUACACUACAGUUUUCUUCUUUAUGAUGCCUUGGUAUUUUUUCAACUUGUUUAUAAAAUCUACUUAGAAGGCAAAUUUGCUUAUAAUCUAGUUUUUUAUUGGUAUGUUUAUUUUGUUUGAUCUUUUGAUUUGGAAGCACUGAUACUUUAAGAAAGAGAUCCUUUAUAAAUAACUUUUAUAUAUUAUUAAAUCAUGUUUAAGACUUCCCCACUGUGAUAGUUUUUUAUACAUAGAAAGGAGUUUAUAGACAUCAAUAAUAAUUGGUGAUUGUCUGGAAUCUUAAAUGUGCAAUUAGAGAAUUUUAGCAGAGUAAAAAUCAAAGUGAGUCAUUGGAGUUCCAUUGCCUUUCUGUUAUCUAGAAAAUGCCACCAUGCACCAGUCUCCUUUUAUAUGCUCUGUGUAUUUAAGAAAUAAUGUCUUUCAGGGUUUCCUUACAUUCAACUGCAUAAUAAUCCAAUUCUCCCUUAAAAUAUUGAAAGGAUAAAAUUAGGAUAGUUUAGAUUUUUUCCUGCUCAUUUUACUCACUUUCUUUAGUUCCUGCAAAUAUGACCAUGGAACUUCAUCAUUUUGAUGCAGAACCAUUAAAUGAGUGAGACAAAAUUUAUUCUUUUUAGUAUGGAUUUUCUGAAGUUCAUUCCCACCAGAAACUAGAGCUAAUACUUGCUUGAAUCUAGUUUUAGACUGAGAAACUACUAUUAUUGUAAAUGUGUUUUUCUAGUGAAAAAGACAUGCUGUAGAGACACAUUAUAUUCUUCAGAAACAACAAAGUGAACAAACUUAAUACUCUUAAGCAACCAUGGCUUUUGCAAUUUUCAAGUAAAUUAAUGACAUUCUUACACAAAUUGCACAUUUAAUGGGUUAUGGUUUAUUAUUGGCUUUAUAGCUUACAGAUUUUUAUCUUGUUGAUAAUCCACUUUUAAUUCUUUCCUCAGUGAUAUUGGGACUGGUCAGUCUCCAGAUGACUGUGUAGUAGGGCUAAGGCAGACAAGGCACAUCCCACCUACAUUGCCUGUGAGAGGAACCUUGUCCUCUAGCAAUCCUGACUUGCUGCAGUCACAUCAUUCCAUUUUAGACAUCAGUACUACUCCCGGUGAGUACCUCCACUACUUAUUUUGUUUUCACAUUGUCAUCUUUUUCCAUAUUUUUCUUUCUUUGAUACCCAGAUGCAUAGAGUGAGGAUGAGCCUUAAAUU